GUUCCUCAUCUUGCACUCCUUCCUCUGCAUUUGUCAAUAACUCAAAAGCAUUUCGGAUUUGUAUCAUAUUAUUAGCAUCUUAUGCUAAGGAGAAAACAGCCUCACGAGCAAAGAAAUUUGGUGGCAGUUCCGGAAAACUUAUCCAGGCCAGAGCCACCGAAGUUUCUUCAUUUGGUUUGAACCAUGGGUUCCAAAUCAUCGGUCUCAUUUGACAAUAUCUAUUAUUCAUUGAAAUGUAAUAAGCAGGGGUAGAAAGUAUUUUGAUGUAAUCCUCCAAUAAUGAAAAUCUCAUCAAAAUGUGUCUAUCUUCAAUAAGGCCAAUUUCACACUUACCUUUAAUUCCACAUUGUUCAGGAAUAGCAGUUCUAAGGGCCCUUAUGUU